rnacentral:misc_RNA from 1 species
CAUCCCUCAAGCUUUGCUUGGUAUUGGGUGUCACCUAGCAUGGUGUACCUAAAAUUCAGUGGCAGUACCACCGGCCUCAAGUGUAGUAAUAUUCUCACUUUCGGGUUUGGUGUUAUGCUUGCCAGCAAGCCCUAAUUUAUCAAA